GGAAUAUUCCACAAUGGGGGAAACCCUGAUGGAGCGACGCCGCGUGAGUGAAGAAGGGCUUCGGCUCGUAAAGCUCUUUUCCUGAGGACGAAUGGUCUAUUAGAUAGGCAGAGACGGUACUUAGGGAAUAAGCCACGGCUAACUACGUGCCAGCAGCCGCGGUAAUACGUAGGUGGCAAGCGUUGUCCGGAAUUAUUGGGCGUAAAGGGAGCGCAGGCGGGACGGUAAGUCCAAAUUAAAAGUGCAGGAGUAAUGCCUGUGAUGGUUUGGAAACUGUCGUUCUUGAGAGCAGGAGAGGCAAGCGGAAUUCCCAGUGUAGCGGUGAAAUGCGUAGAUAUUGGGAGGAACACCAGUGGCGAAGGCGGCUUGCUGGACUGUGUCUGACGCUGAGGCUCGAAAGCCAGGGUAGCGAACG
rnacentral:rRNA from 1 species